UAUAGGUUUCUUUGCCCGCACAGAUUUUGCCCGAGGAGCCACAGCUGAGUCAAAGUCCAUAUGGAAGUCAUCACUCUCCCCCCUGGAUUUCUAAAAGAGAAAAGCCCAGUCUACUCAAUUGAAACCCAAGAAAAGUUAAGGCUCUUAACGCACACAGAAUACUUACCAUUGGCAAAGGUUCUUCUCCAUCCAUCAAACGCCUGAUGUUAUUUACAACUUCACGUACAUCAAAGUUGGGGAUUUUGCAGGACCACCCGGUACCGAUUCCUUCAGCACCAUUUAUCAGCACCAUGGGAAUAAUAGGAAUGUACCAUUCAGGCUCAACACGCUGGUU